UCCUACGGGAGGCAGCAGUUGGGCGCAAGCCUGAUCCAGCCAUGCCGCGUGAGUGAUGAAGGCCCUAGGGUUGUAAAGCUCUUUCACCGGAGAAGAUAAUGACGGUAUCCGGAGAAGAAGCCCCGGCUAACUUCGUGCCAGCAGCCGCGGUAAUACGAAGGGGGCUAGCGUUGUUCGGAUUUACUGGGCGUAAAGCGCACGUAGGCGGACAUUUAAGUCAGGGGUGAAAUCCCAGAGCUCAACUCUGGAACUGCCUUUGAUACUGGGUGUCUGGAGUAUGGAAGAGGUGAGUGGAAUUCCGAGUGUAGAGGUGAAAUUCGUAGAUAUUCGGAGGAACACCAGUGGCGAAGGCGGCUCACUGGUCCAUUACUGACG
rnacentral:rRNA from 1 species